CUGUCUUCCUCCUCCCGACUCCCCCAACCCCAACCACAGCCGCCGCCGACCACCUCUCUCUCCCUAACCCCACCGGCGACUGCCUUUCCCCUGCUCCGCCGGAGACCUCCAGGCCUCCGCCCUCUACCCCAUCGCCGGCGCCCCCCACCCUCUCCUUCUCUUCAUUGGGAGGCCCCAGCACGCACCGCCACCGCGCCCUCAUCCUUCCGCGUCCAACCUCCGGCGCGGCCCGAAACUCUCUCUCCCUCCCUCCUUCCGCGUCCAACCUCCGUACUGGUUCCGCUGCAGGGCCGAGGCCUCACUGGGGGCUUCUUCUUCCUGACGUCGUCGCCGGAGCCAUGGCGGUGCCCCGUGCUUUGGGGCCGGGCUUACCUCCAUAAGGCAAAUCUUGUUGCGGCCUUCUCCUCCAACCUCGUUGGCGCAUCACCUCUGCCUUCUCCUCGUUCUACUGUUCCCAGAGGGAUGGAUCCACUUGUCCGCGACAUGUCUGACAAUAUGCCAUGGAGGCGGGCUGGCGGCCAGCUGGCUCGGUAUCCUCUGGUGAAGACCGCGACCACUAAUGCAACCAAAGAGAUAAGGAAUCGGCCCUUCAAUUAAUCUCUAGCUUGUUGUGGACACAGCGGUUCAAUUCAAAUUGGGGAAUAUGCUUGGAUGAAGCAGUUAUAGAACCACAGUUCAGCAGCAGGAUUCGGUCGGUACAGAAGAAAGAGGACAAGUGGUUCAUCGAGGUGCGCGGUGCUAGGGUGUUCCGUUGGGCGGACCCGUUGCCUUUUCGGCAUCCGCUACAUAACAACCAUGGUACCUUCCAUAAGGAGAAAAGAAAGUGUGACAAUAAAAAGGAGUGCAACAAAAAAUCUGUUGAACCCCGAUGAAGACCUGGGACGCAGGGCAAGGUGGAAAAGGUGGCCGUGGGAAUUAUUCUUCACGCCAACUAAGCAACUCCAGUGGUGUGGAAGAUAUCCAUUGGUGGUCAAAACGGAUGUGCCGGUGGAUGGUCGGUUUGAGCAUGUCGUUCUUUCCUGCAAUGCCACAAUGGACCACGCCAUUUUUUGGAUCACGCCCUCCCUGCUCCAGCGUCGAGGACAGGAAGCAGCAACAGGAUUACAUCGGUACAGCAGAGUACAAGCGGUUCAUCAAGGUGCGCGGUGAUAGGCUCUUCUUCCUCUGAGCCAUAAUAGCCAUGAACUACAACAUCAAUGGGUGAACCCCAGCAGCCUUGGCAAGCGAACAAGGCUUAGGACGCCUGGUCUCUCCAUUGACCACUUCUGUGGUGAAAUCUCCAGCUUGAGGCUUAAUGGCAACACCCUGUCUGGCGCAUUCCCUUCAUCAUUGGCUAAUUUGUCACGCCAGCCAGCAGCGAAAGGAGCAGCCUUGUUGCUGGGCAUACCACGGCGCGGAGACGACGCCGUUUGGCACAAGUUUGGUCGGCGAAGCAGUUCUGCCUGCUCUGGCGCUCACUCCGACGCCUCCCACCCUGCUGCUCUGGGGUCUGCUUCUUCACCUCCGGCACAAAAAAUUGACGAGCUGAGAGGUCAUGCAAGGCAUAGCAUAAGUGUAUGUGUUUUCAGUGUAUACUAACCCGACACCUACGGGAUGAAGGUGGCUGCAUCGUAACCUUCAUGGCCGGCUAUGGGGGUUCUGGAUGUUCCUCUUGCCUUGUGCGAUUUCUCAGGGAGCAGUGCUUGGAAUGGGCUGAUCCGGGCGUUGAUGCUUAUUCUGCUGACUCUUUGACGGCCAGCCCAUACGCAGUUCGAGGCACACCAUAGAGCUUGAAGAGUCUCUUGAGGUCCUUUGGCUGGAAGGACAUGGUUUCAGCCACGACAAGGUGCCAUGGCGGUAGCUCCUUCUCACCUUGGCUCAUAGAUCCAACAGAAGCACCCUCCAGGCUCUCCUGUGGCUCUUAUGCUUGCUGGCUGGAUUGGCAGGAGCUACAGCACCUCCGGUGGCAUGGCCAUGGGGAUGGAGAGUAUAACAGGAUGGGCAAGCAAGGACAUGUCUGCAUUCAUCAACUUGGGUUCUUCUUCUUUGAUCCGAUGGCGUGCCCCAGGCAUCCAUUCUGUUUGUCAGGUGGCUUAUCCAAUGAUGGUGCAUCACAAUCUCUUGCUCCCAUGGCGAAAUAUUCGCAGGCUACUUGUCAUUUUCCACCUUCAGAUUCAAAAGGACUGGCAGAUCUUAAGGAUACCCCAGAAGAGGUUGUCUUGGAUUUAGGUUCACAUGUAAACCACUCAUCAUAUCAGGCGCUAGGAGUGGGUAGUUCUGUUUCAGACCCACUGCUUGCACCGCCCCUUCAAGCCCACAGUCAUGGUGGUGAGAUUGUGGCCAGCAAUCAUGCUGUCAGAAGCGGUGAGCAGGUGAAUAUAUGGUGGUUUCUGAUGAUGCAUCAACACUUCCGAAAGACACGCCUCAAUCUUCUGGUUCAUCCUCUACUGUGCUACCAUUUGGUAGCAGGCCAUCUUCUAGCUACAGUAGUCGCUCACAGUGGCCAAGUGGCUCGCAGAAAAGGGCCUGGACCGCAGCCACAGGAGGGCGAGAAGACGAACGGGUGGUGUAAAACUGAGUUUGUCCUGGUGUAUUGGUUGCUGCUGAAUGUGAUGUCUGGUGGUGUGGAUCAUCAGCUCUGGGGGCAAGGGCAUGACUGAUGCAUUAGCUGUGGUGUAACUGAAGAAGGACAAACAGACGUCUUCGUGAUGAAGCCUGAGGUCAUGACGAUGGGUGGGAACUGUUCGUUGUCGUCAAGAUUUGUUAGUUUGUCUUGUUGUUUUCAGAAUUGUAGUUGUGUGAUGCAUAGGAGUAGGUAGUAGCCCUUAGAAAUCAACCAUCCUGGUAUUGAUGGUAUAGGAGGAGACAAAGCACACAAGUUGUAUUUCUACUCUCAUACGUGGUAUAUCAGUUAUAAUGCCAUUCAAA